AGGGGGUUAGUCCAAAAAAGACCUUUGAUUUCGACUCAAAAAACCAUGGUUAAACCCCAUGACCCCCUU
rnacentral:tRNA from 1 species